rnacentral:rRNA from 1 species
CCUACGGGAGGCAGCAGUGAGGAAUAUUGGUCAAUGGACGAGAGUCUGAACCAGCCAAGUAGCGUGAAGGAUGACUGCCCUAUGGGUUGUAAACUUCUUUUAUAUGGGAAUAAAAUGUUCCACGUGUGGGAUUUUGUAUGUACCAUAUGAAUAAGGAUCGGCUAACUCCGUGCCAGCAGCCGCGGUAAUACGGAGGAUCCGAGUGUUAUCCGGAUUUAUUGGGUUUAAAGGGAGCGUAGGUGGAUUGUUAAGUCAGUUGUGAAAGUUUGCGGCUCAACCGUAAAAUUGCAGUUGAAACUGGCAGUCUUGAGUACAGUAGAGGUGGGCGGAAGUCGUGGUGUAGCGGUGAAAUGCGUAGAUAUCACGAAGAACUCCGAUUGCGAAGGCAGUUCACUGGACUGCAACUGACACUGAGGCUCGAAAGUGUGGGUAUCAAACAGGAUUAGAUACCCCUGUAGUC